GACGAACCGUGCGAACGUUAUUCGGAAUCACUGGGCUUAAAGGGCGCGUAGGUGGUUGAUCAAGUCUGGGGUGAAAUCUUUCGGCUUAACCGGAAAAGUGCCUUGGAUACUGAUCAGCUGGAGGGAGGUAGGGGCAGUUGGAACUUCCAGUGGAGCGGUGAAAUGCGUUGAUUUUGGAAGGAACGCCGGUGGCGAAAGCGAACUGCUGGACCUCUUCUGACACUGAGGCGCGAAAGCUAGGGGAGCAAACGGG
rnacentral:rRNA from 1 species